CAUCGAGUUUGAUAAAUAACUAGAGUUUGAUAACGGAUAAGUGAUAAGAUAGCAGAAGCAGAAAGGAAUAUCUUAUCAUGGACUAUUUAAUGCCAGUGAUUACGAAGCAAUGAUGCUAGGAAGUUUAGGAAGAUUCGUUAUUUAAUUCAGUUUACGCGGAAAAGAUAUAUGUUACCUUUUCAAGUAUUUUAUUUUAUACGUGGUAUAUGAAUUAUAAUUUAAUUUAAUUUUGAUAAAUUUAAAGGUGAUAUAAAGAAAUGCAACAGGUGCUGACGUGGAUGUGGAGAUUUCGUCAUUUUUCUUCGUAGAUAAUAAUUACCUGUGCAAUAAUGGAAGCUACUUUUUCUUUAUCUAUUGCUGUGUGGAUUCGUUUAUUUUUCAAGUGAUGUGGAGUAUCUCUACGAUGGAGUCUAUUUGGUCUAUUUGAAUCACCACUACCAUCAUAAUCAAUACCUUCUACGAUAGAAAAUUCGA